rnacentral:rRNA from 1 species
GGAUGAACGCUGGCGGCGUGCCUAACACAUGCAAGUCGAGCGAGGGUUUGCUCAGUAUUGAGUAUUCUAAAACUAGAAUGUUCAAUUCUGAGCAAAACCAAGCGGCGGACGGGUGAGUAACGCGUGGGUAACCUGCCCUAUACACAUGGAUAACAUACUGAAAAGUUUACUAAUACAUGAUAAUAUAUAUUUGCGGCAUCGCAGAUAUAUCAAAGUGUUAGCGGUAUAGGAUGGACCCGCGUCUGAUUAGCUAGUUGGUGAGAUAACUGCCCACCAAGGCGACGAUCAGUAGCCGACCUGAGAGGGUGAUCGGCCACAUUGGAACUGAGACACGGUCCAAACUCCUACGGGAGGCAGCAGUGGGGAAUAUUGCACAAUGGGCGAAAGCCUGAUGCAGCAACGCCGCGUGAACGAUGAAGGUCUUCGGAUCGUAAAGUUCUGUUGCAGGGGAAGAUAAUGACGGUACCCUGUGAGGAAGCCCCGGCUAACUACGUGCCAGCAGCCGCGGUAAUACGUAGGGGGCUAGCGUUAUCCGGAUUUACUGGGCGUAAAGGGUGCGUAGGUGGUCCUUCAAGUCGGUGGUUAAAGGCUACGGCUCAACCGUAGUAAGCCGCCGAAACUGGAGGACUUGAGUGCAGGAGAGGAAAGUGGAAUUCCCAGUGUAGCGGUGAAAUGCGUAGAUAUUGGGAGGAACACCAGUAGCGAAGGCGGCUUUCUGGACUGCAACUGACACUGAGGCACGAAAGCGUGGGUAGCAAACAGGAUUAGAUACCCUGGUAGUCCACGCUGUAAACGAUGAGUACUAGGUGUCGGGGGUUACCCCCCUCGGUGCCGCAGCUAACGCAUUAAGUACUCCGCCUGGGGAGUAC